rnacentral:rRNA from 1 species
UACGGGGGGGGCAAGCGUUGUUCGGAAUUACUGGGCGUAAAGGGCUCGUAGGCGGCCAACUAAGUCAGACGUGAAAUCCCUCGGCUUAACCGGGGAACUGCAUCUGAUACUGGAUGGCUUGAGUUCGGGAGAGGGAUGCGGAAUUCCAGGUGUAGCGGUGAAAUGCGUAGAUAUCUGGAGGAACACCGGUGGCGAAGGCGGUUAGCUGGGCAGUUGCUGACACUGAGGCGCGACAGCGUGGGGAGCAAACAGG